rnacentral:rRNA from 1 species
AGCGAACGCUGGCGGCAGGCCUAACACAUGCAAGUCGAACGAACCUUUCGGGGUUAGUGGCGGACGGGUGAGUAACACGUGGGAACGUGCCCUUAGGUUCGGAAUAACUCAGGGAAACUUGUGCUAAUACCGAAUGUUCCCUUCGGGGGAAAGAUUUAUCGCCUUUAGAGCGGCCCGCGUCUGGUUAGCUAGUUGGUUGAGGUAAUGGCUCACCAAGGCGACGAUCAGUAGCUGGUCUGAGAGGAUGAUCAGCCACAUUGGGACUGAGACACGGCCCAAACUCCUACGGGAGGCAGCAGUGGGGAAUCUUGCGCAAUGGGCGAAAGCCUGACGCAGCCAUGCCGCGUGAAUGAUGAAGGUCUUAGGAUUGUAAAAUUCUUUCACCGGGGACGAUAAUGACGGUACCCGGAGAAGAAGCCCCGGCUAACUUCGUG